UCGUACAAUUUCUCAGCCUCUA
rnacentral:siRNA from 1 species